rnacentral:rRNA from 1 species
AUAUCAGUCAUGCAUAGCAUAUCAAUAAGCGGAGGAAAAGAAACUAACUAGGAUUCCCUUAGUAACGGCGAGUGAAGCGGGAAGAGCUCAAAUUUGAAAUCUUCAAGGUUCUACCUUGACGAAUUGUAGUUUAAAGAAGUGUUUUCUGUUGGAGUUUUGGUAAAAGUUCUUUGGAAUAGGACAUCAUAGAGGGUGAGAAUCCCGUAUUUGACCAUUUCUUCCAGCUGUGUGAUACACUUUCAAAGAGUCGGAUUGUUUGGGAAUGCAGUCCAAAAUGGGUGGUAAAUUUCAUCUAAAGCUAAAUAUUGGCGAGAGACCGAUAGCGAACAAGUACCGUGAGGGAAAGAUGAAAAGAACUUUGAAAAGAGAGUUAAACAGUACGUGAAAUUGUCAAAAGGGAUGCGUUUGACACCAGUGUUGUUUUUCCGAAAAUCAAUUACGAAUGUUUUAUUUUUGAGAAGUUAUGACUUCAUCGGCUUGCUUCUCUCUUUAUGAAACUUUCUUAAUGCACUUUUCGGUUAACAAGUCAACAUCAAUUUCUUUUGUUGUAAAAGGGUAUGAGGAAGGUGGCUUUCUUUUCGGAGAAAGUGUUUAUAGCCUUGUACCUCUGCAAUCGGAGAGAUUGAGGUCUGCAGCGUAGAUCCUUCGGGGUUAGAUACAUUUGUGCUAAGUUAUAGCUUUUCAUAGACAACUUGUUGACUAUGUUUAGUCUUGUAGCUUACUCGCUUAUGCUAUUUUACCUACGCUUAGGAUGUUGAUGUGAUACUGCGAGCA